GUGGGGAAUCUUAGACAAUGGGGGAAACCCUGAUCUAGCCAUGCCGCGUGAGCGAUGAAGGCCUUAGGGUUGUAAAGCUCUUUCAGCUGGGAAGAUAAUGACGGUACCAGCAGAAGAAGCCCCGGCUAACUCCGUGCCAGCAGCCGCGGUAAUACGGAGGGGGCUAGCGUUGUUCGGAAUUACUGGGCGUAAAGCGCGCGUAGGCGGACCAGAAAGUUGGAGGUGAAAUCCCAGGGCUCAACCUUGGAACUGCCUUCAAAACUCCUGGUCUGGAGUUCGAGAGAGGUGAGUGGAAUUCCGAGUGUAGACGUGAAAUUCGUAGAUAUUCGGAGGAACACCAGUGGCGAAGGCGGCUCACUGGCUCGAUACUGACGCUGAGGUGCGAAAGCGUGGGGAGCAAACAGGAUUAGAAACCCCUGUAGUCC
rnacentral:rRNA from 1 species